rnacentral:rRNA from 1 species
UACGUAGGGGGCAAGCGUUGUCCGGAUUUAUUGGGCGUAAAGAGCGUGUAGGCGGCUUGGCAAGUCGGAUGUGAAAUCCCUCGGCUCAACCAAGGAAGUGCAUCCGAAACUGCCGAGCUUGAGUACUUAAGAGGAUCGCGGAAUUCCCGGUGUAGAGGUGAAAUUCGUAGAUAUCGGGAGGAACACCAGUGGCGAAGGCGGCGAUCUGGGAAGAUACUGACGCUGAGGUGCGAAAGCGUGGGGAGCAAACAGG